rnacentral:rRNA from 1 species
UGCAAGUCGAGCGCGCCAUCCCGCUUUCGGGUGGGGUGGUGAGCGGCGAACGGGUGAGUAACACGUGAGUAACCUGCCCCUGACUCUGGGAUAAGCCGGGGAAACCCGGUCUAAUACCGGAUAUGACCACUGCCCGCAUGGGUUGGUGGUGGAAAGGUUAGGUCUGGUUGGGGAUGGGCUCGCGGCCUAUCAGCUUGUUGGUGGGGUGAGGGCCUACCAAGGCGAUUACGGGUAGCCGGCCUGAGAGGGCGGUCGGCCACACUGGGACUGAGACACGGCCCAGACUCCUACGGGAGGCAGCAGUGGGGAAUCUUGCGCAAUGGGCGAAAGCCUGACGCAGCGACGCCGCGUGGGGGAUGACGGCCUUUGGGUUGUAAACCUCUUUUACCACUGAAGCAGGCCAUGCGCGUUGCGUGUGGUUGACGGUAGGUGGGGAAUAAGGACCGGCUAACUACGUGCCAGCAGCCGCGGUAAUACGUAGGGUCCGAGCGUUGUCCGGAAUUAUUGGGCGUAAAGAGCUCGUAGGCGGCGUGUCGCGUCUGCUGUGAAAGUCCGGGGCUUAACUCCGGUUUGGCAGUGGAUACGGGCAUGCUUGAGGCAGGUAGGGGAGACUGGAAUUCCUGGUGUAGCGGUGAAAUGCGCAGAUAUCAGGAGGAACACCGGUGGCGAAGGCGGGUCUCUGGGCCUGACCUGACGCUGAGGAGCGAAAGCGUGGGUAGCG